ACCCUAGCUACUGGUCUUCAAUAUUCCCGGCCGCCACUCCAACUGCUCUCCGUCCAAAUCAUCGCCGCCUCUCCCAAAUCCUCCACUGCGCUUGCUCGCUCUCUCCAAAAUCGCCGCAGCGCGUCCUCAUCCAGUACUCACCCCCGCCCCCACCCGAGAUCCUGCUGCCUCUCGACCUUAAUCUUGCCCGCGCCCUCCACCCAGAUCCUGCGUGCAUGUGCAUCCUCCCUCGUUGGCGGCAAGAACAAGCUCGUGCGUUGUCCACCUCCCCGACUAAACAUAGCCAGGGGCGCACACGGUUUGGGGUGUCUGCGGUGAAGGAAUUCCCAACAAGCCUGCAACUCAAUGCCGCCUCCGUUCUUGCCUGCUUAUUUUAGAGUAUAUUCAUCUGCUUAUUUUAGGGUAUGUGGUCUUUGCUCGUGGGCUGCUCCUAGUACAAGUGAACUAGAUCUGAGUUGAUGUGUUCUAGAUUUCUAAACUUGGCAUUGUUCCGAGUCUUUCUCCAACUUAUCCCUUAUCAUUAGAAGGGAAUUUAUUCAAUAAGUAGAUCUGAAAAAUGCUCGUGCUUUGUUAUGCUAAUUUCCAGUUCUUCAAUCAGAAUCCCAUUAGCUACUUAUUGACUCGCAAUUUCAGUGACAUAGGUAAUUAAGGUGGUUCUGUACCAUCGAUCCCAUCAGGUUAUUACAUAUGGAUUUUCAAAAAUGAAAAGUACAUGUGGUUCUGUAUCA